rnacentral:snoRNA from 1 species
CACUCCUGUUUCUGCUCUGCACUCAUGCCCAUUGAGUGUUGGAUUCUGUUUAAUGGAGAAGAAUAAGCUCGUCAACGGGUCAAUGAAAUUUUGUAACCUUCGCUGAUACUUUUGACGGGAUCGUGCUGUCAGUAGUUCGUGGAAGGCAUUACCCUUUUUGGGACCAAUGCCGGGCUGCUGUAUCUACAUUU